rnacentral:lncRNA from 1 species
UUGAUUUUUGACUGUCUUUAAUGUAACGAAUUAUGGAUGCUAGAACCCUAAAACACUAAAAGAUACCCUAGGCACGUAGAAUUAGACUUUGUCUUAUGACAAUUACUUCACGAACUUAUCGACUCUUCAUCAAUGAAGGUCCGGGCGACAGAAAGUGAAGCCGAAGAAGAAACGACUCCAUGCCAGCUUUAAGAACAAUUGAGGUGGGCAAUUUCUUACGCGUAAAUAAAAUGCUAUGCAUGUGUUAUGCUUUAUAAUAGCAAAUUGGAUCUUCAAGUAUGGUAUGCUUUAUUAUGCUUUACACUAAAUGAUUUACGCUAUGCUGUUUAUACUAUUUACGCCCUAUGUAAUUUACGCUUGAUUACACUUAUUUACGCUUGAAUGCUUUACGCUGAUAAGUUUAUGCUUAUGUUUUGAUGCUUGCGUCUGUUGGGGGAGGCCUCCCUCAACAGUACGAUGCCGUGUCCGUUGAGGAGGGCCUUCCUCACGGCGCGAUGCCCGUGUCCGCUGAGAGAGGCCUCUCUCGCGGCGCGAUGCCAGUAUGCCAGUAUGCCAGUGUUACAGCGUCUAUGGGGGAGGCCUCCCUCAAUAGUACGAUGCCGUGACCGCUGAGGGAGGCCCCCUUCACGGCGCGAUGCCCGUGUUCGUUGGGAAGGCCUUCUCCACGACACGAUGCGUGUUGAUGAUUGUUAAUGAUGAAGAAUGCGCUCAUGCUGUUUAUGAAUAUGGAAAUGUUUAAUGAGCAAAGGAUUUGAAAGAAACUUAUGCCUCUUAUGCGAAGUUGUGUUUUGUUGUUGAUAUUAUGUUAUAUGCUUGGCACUGCCCACUGAGUACUCUUGUACUCAGCCCUUCGUAUGUUUAUGUUUGUGCAGGUUGAGUUGUGAUGGGCGAUGAAGUGUUGCUGAGUGGAGUUUUUGUCGAACUUAAAGUAGGCUCAGAAAGGAUACAUGUCUUCAUACAUGUAUCUCAGUUAUGCAUUCCGCUGUAAACACUGAUUAUUUCAGUUACACCUUCCGUUGCAAACUCUGAUAAAGUUUUACUCAAGCCUCUAACGAUGCCUUUUUCCUUUUUAAGGAAUAUUUCACGCAUAUUCAAACUCUUUGAGUAUUCUUUUAUGCACCCCUUUCUAAACCCGCUUCUUAAUUUCCUUCCCCAGUCAUGGUUUUCCCGGAUUAAUUAUCCUUAAUUAAGGCCGGUCGUGACAAAAAGCAAGGGAGGGUAUAAUUGUCCAAAAAGCAGAGUAGGAGUUUAUUUCGUGGACAAAUAUUUAAGGGCAAGUAGGAGUUUAUUUCGUGGACGGAGGGAGUAUUUCAUAAGAAAAAAUAAAAUGAGC